CUUACACUCACAAUGCCCAAAGUAUAUAUGUACAUGUAGGUCCUUGGUUUCAUGACCCGUAAGUUCUGAUUCCCAUUGAGAUUAUGAGCAUACAUCAUCCAUACAUUGAGGGGAGUGGAUAUUGCAUCACGUCUAGAUUUAUUUCUUAGGUGUUGAUUUACUCUUCCACAUCACGGCAAUGUUGCAGGUGCUACUUCGUUUAUUCAAUCUUGUAGAGGACGACCCGUUGGGUGUUUCAGACACCAUCUAUUUGCGGACACAUGAUGUUGCUGGAUACUUAGCAAUUAGCCUUCCACUCCUGAGUCUAUGAGUCACAAAGACCAGCAACAUCGUGGAACUGUUGUCCUAGAGACUACCAAGAACUCGACGUGGAAUAAACCAUGACUAGGGCUCCCAUGCAAACCUUGAGCAACAUAGAGAUCUCACGGUUGGCAUAUCAAAUACAACAUGUGUUUGUUUCUCAAAGAAACAUCGCCGGCAAGAGAGAUCAGGGCACGAACACAGAC
rnacentral:lncRNA from 1 species